UAGGGAAUAUUGGACAAUGGAGGGAACUCUGAUCCAGCCAUGCCGCGUGGACGAUGACGGCGCUAUGCGUUGUAAAGUCCUUUUAAAUAGGAAGAAAAAGGUGCAUUUAUGCACAACUGACGGUACUAUUGGAAUAAGCACCGGCUAACUCCGUGCCAGCAGCCGCGGUAAUACGGAGGGUGCAAGCGUUAUCCGGAAUCACUGGGUUUAAAGGGUGCGUAGGCGGGGAAAUAAGUCAGAGGUGAAAUCUCGUCGCUUAACGACGGAAUUGCCUUUGAUACUGUUUUUCUUGAAAUAUGUUGAGGUUGGCGGAAUGUGACAUGUAGCGGUGAAAUGCUUAGAUAUGUCAUAGAACACCGAUUGCGAAGGCAGCUGACUGGGCAUUAUUUGACGCUGAUGC
rnacentral:rRNA from 1 species